UACGGAAGGCAGCAGUGGGGAAUAUUGCACAAUGGGCGCAAGCCUGAUGCAGCCAUGCCGCGUGUAUGAAGAAGGCCUUCGGGUUGUAAAGUACUUUCAGUCGUGAGGAAGGUGUUAAGGUUAAUAACCUUAGCAAUUGACGUUAGCGACAGAAGAAGCACCGGCUAACUCCGUGCCAGCAGCCGCGGUAAUACGGAGGGUGCGAGCGUUAAUCGGAAUUACUGGGCGUAAAGGGCACGCAGGCGGUUAAUUAAGUUGGAUGUGAAAUCCCCCGGGCUUAAACCCUGGGAAUGGCAUUCAAGACUGGUUAGCUAGAGUCUUGUAGAGGGGGUUAGAAUUCCAUGUGUAGCGGUGAAAUGCGUAGAGAUGUGGAGGAAUACCGGUGGCGAAGGCGGCCCCUGGACAAAGACUGACGCUCAUGUGCGAAAGCGUGGGGAGCAAACGAGGAUUAGAUACC
rnacentral:rRNA from 1 species